rnacentral:misc_RNA from 1 species
CAGAGUUGCAAGACUCCCUAAACCAUUGUGAACCUACCUUCUACCGUUGCUUCGGCGGGCGGGCCCAGCGCCCCCCCCGGCCCCCCGCGGGCGCCCGCCGGAGGAUACCCAAACUCUUGACAUUAGUGGCCUCUCUGGGUAUUCUUUACUGAAUAAGUCA